GGGGGGAGGCCGGAUCCUGGGCUGUGUCCCGGCGCCCUGUGCUCCCGGCCUGCGCCGUUGGAUUCGCUCCCGGCCGUGCAGCCCCCU
rnacentral:pre_miRNA from 1 species